rnacentral:rRNA from 1 species
GACCUCAAGUCAUGUGAGAUUACCCGCUGAACUUAA